rnacentral:pre_miRNA from 1 species
ACUGGUUUCACAUGGUGGCUUAGAUUUUAACAUCUUUGUAUCUAGCACCAUUUGAAAUCAGUGUU